AAUGCAGAAAUUUUUUGUAUCGACUAUGUGCUAUUAAUAAUGCACUUUGCUCGAAAGUGUUCUCUGCUAAAUUGAUAUCACUGAGAAAGAUGGGCAGUUGUUUUUCAUUUAUUUCACUGAAAAUUUUCAACAAUCAUUUUCCCCCAUCU
rfam:Capsicum annuum cultivar Zunla-1 chromosome 5, whole genome shotgun sequence